GGGGUCUUAUGGGGUCCUAUGGGGCUCUAUGGGGUUCUAUGGGGUCUUAUGGGGUUGUAUGGGGUCCUAUGGGGGCUUAAAGUGGUCCUAUGGGCGUCUAUGGGGCCCUUAUGGGGUCCUUAUGGGGUCCUAUGGGGCUCUAUGGGGUCCUUAUUGGUCCUUAUGGGGUCCUAUGGGGUUCUAUGGGGUCUUUAUGGGGUCCUUAUGGGGCUCUAUGGGGUCCUUAUGGGGUCCUAUGGGGGCUUAAAGGGGUUCUAUGGGGUCCUAUGGGGCUCUAUGGGGUCCUUAUGGGGUUCUAUGGGGUCCUUAUGGGGUCCCUAUGGGGUCCUUAUGGGGCUCUAUUGGGUCUUUAUGGGGUCCUAAGGGGUCUUAUGGGUUCUUUAUGGGGUCCUAUGGGGGCUUAAAGGGGUCCUAUGGGGCUCUAUGGGGUCCUUAUGGGGCCCUAUGGGGCUCUAUGGGGUCCUUAUGAGGAUCUAUGGGGUCCUAUGGGGUUCUAUGGGGGCUUAAAGUGGUCUUUAUGGGGUCCUAUGGGGUCCUUAUGGGGUUAUAUGGGGUCCAAUCGGGUCCUAUGGGGCUCUAUGAGGUCUUAUGGGGCUCUAUGGGGUCCUUAUGGGGUCCCUAUGGGGUCUUUAUGGGGUCCCCAUGCGGUUUUAUGGGGUCUUAUGGGGUCCCUAUGGGGUCCUAUGGGGGCUUAAAGGGGUUCUAUGGGGUCCUAUGGGGCUCUAUGGGGUCCUUAUGGGGUUCUUAUGGGGUCCCUAUGGGGACUUUAUGGGGUUAUAUGGGGUCUUAUUGGGGCUUUAUGGGGUCCUAUGGGGGCUUAAAGGGGUUCUAUGGGGUCCUAUGGGGCUCUAUGGGGUCCUAUGGGGUCUUAUGGGGUCUUUAUGGGGUCCUAUGUGGUCCUUAUGAGGCUCUAUGGGGAUCUAUGGGGUCCUAUGGGGCUCUAUGGGGUCCUUAUGGGGGCUUAAAAGGGUCUUAUGGGGUUCUAUGGGGUCCUUAUGGGGUCCUAUGGGGUUCUUAUGGGGUUUUAUGGGGUCCAAUGGGGUCCUAUGGGGCUCUAUGAGGUCUUAUGGGGCUCUAUGGGGUCCUAUGGGGUCCUUAUGGGGUUUUAUGGGGUCCAAUGGGGUCCUAUGGGGCUCUAUGAGGUCUUAUGGGGUUCUAUGGGGUCCUUAUGGGGUUCUUAUGGGGUCUUUAUGGGGUCCUAUGGGGUUCUAAUGGAUCCUUAUGAGGCUCUGUGGGGCUCUACGGGGUCCUUAUGGGGUCCUAUGGGGUCUUAUGGGGUCCUACGGGGUCCUAUGGGGGCUUAACAGGGUCCUAUGGGGUCCUUAUGGGGCUCUAUGGGGUUCUAUGGAGACUUAAAGGGGUCCUAUGGGGCUCUAUGGGGUCCCUUUGGGGUUCUUAUGGGGUCCCUAUGGGGUCUUUAUGGGGUCCUAUG
ensembl:lncRNA